ACACACGCUGUUGUGAGAGUUCCGUGCUCAUUUCCUUGUGGAUACACCAGGAACUCACUCUGCUGUGACCCUUCAGUACACCUCAUGUUAGGAUUAGAGACAUCUGGGUCAUAUCAGCUGCCACUGUCAUCUUCUAGUCCCUCAAAGUGUCAGCUAAAGAAACAGGCUCAGAGGAUGUUAUUUGAUUGGACUAUGUUGUAUCUCUGGAGAGCACAGCUGAGAUCAGACUGUGUGUGUGUAACUCCACUAGACUACGAGGGUGCUUCUCAUAAAGGAGCACUGAGGUGCACAGAGAAAUAUAUCCAAGCCUAUUUUGGAAUACAAAAGUUUUAGAAGAAAACAUCAAUGUCUUUAUGUAGAAGAACGAAAAAACGAACUGUAUUAUAAUCACACAGUGUAACUACCAUGAUGACAUGAUUAAAUCUACUUGUGACAAAACAGAUAAAUCCCAGCUGAGGCAGAGAAUUGCUUGAACCCGGCAAGCGGAGGUUGCAAUGAGCCGAGAUCUCACCACUGCACUCCAGCUUGGGCGACAGAGCAAAAAUCCAUCCCCACCCCCACGCCAAAAAAAAAAAAAAAAAGAUAAAUCUUGAAAACUUAAAUUGAGUGACAGACUAUACUCAACAACACAUACAGUGUACCACUGUGUAAGCUUCACUCAGGAAGUGGCAUAUAUAAAACAAUAAAUAUGACAUGACACACACACACACACACACACACACACACACACACACACACACACACACUCCCGGGAGAAUAUUUACGUAGUAAAGCACAUCACCAUCAGGAAGGACAAUUCUCAGUUUUCAAGAUCAUGGUUAACUUAAGAAUAGAGAGAAAAGUGGGGAUUUGGGGGAGCCCAAAGAAAGGCUUCAAUGAAAUAGUUACACGUUGUUUCUUGGAGGGAGGAGAGAAGAGACAAAUACUAUGGUUCACUAAACCUGGGCAGACUGAUACUAUGCUUUUAGGUUUUAAAUAUUUCAUUUUAAAAAAGCGUGUUAGCCCCUGUAAUCCCAGUACUUUGGGAGGCCAAGGCGGGUGGAUCACCUGAGGUCAGGAGCUCGAGACCAGCCUGGCCAACAUGGUGAAACCCUGUGUCUACUAAAAAACACAAAAAUUAGCCAGGUGUGUUGGCACACACCUGCUAUCCCAGCUAUUCGGGAGGCUGAGGCAGAAGAAUCACCUCAACCUGGGAGGUGGAGGUUGCAGUGAGCCAAGAUCGCGCCACUGCACUCCAGCCUGGGCAACAGAGUGAGACUCUGUCUCAAAAAAAAAAAAAAAAAAGAGAGAAAUGAAGGCCUAUGUCCACACAAAAGCCUCUACACAAUGUUCAUAGUACCUCUAUUUGUAAUGGCCCCAAACUGGAAGAACCCAAAUGGCUAUCAACAGACAAAGAAAUGAAUAAAUUUUGACUCAGGCAUACAAUAGAAUACAAAUCAACAAUCAAAUGGAAUCUACUACUGAUACGUGCAACGCUGUGGAUGAAUUUCAAAACAAUCAUUUGAAAUGAAAGAAGCCACACUGCUCCCCGGCCCAUGAAAAUAGUCCACAUUUUAUUAUUUCAUUCAUAAGACUUUAUAGAAAAUGCAAACUAACCUAAAACAGAAAACAGAUCCGUGUUGCCUGAAUACUGGGCAGGGCAAUGAAUAACAAGGGGACACAGGAAACUUUUGGGGUUAUAGAUAUUUCAUUAUCUUGGAUGCAAUGAAGAUGGUGUAUUAGAUAUGUAGAUGGCAAAGCUAACCAGAUUUUUUACUUUAAGUGUUUAAUAUACUAUAAUUAUGCAGUGAGAAAAAAUUAAGCUGACAUUAUCUGCAUUUGCCUAAUAGGUUUGUUUUAUUUUGCAACACUAGAACCUGGGAUUGAAUUCUAAAUUGUGCCACAACUUUUGCUCAUCCUUUUAAGAACACAAAUGGCUAUUUUACAUAUCCCCUCUGGAUUGUCUGAGUUGAUCUUUUAGCCCCAUUUUUAAAUGUUUUAUCCCCGGGACUGAAUUACAAUAUAUAUGUCAAUCAAGAACUGAUCAAUAAAAUAUUAUUUAAGAAAUUAAAGCAAUUGAUGAGCAAAUUU
rnacentral:lncRNA from 1 species